CCGGGUAAAGUGAAGUAAGACGUGGAGACACCCGAUCCCAUCUCGAUCUCGAUUUGUGAAACCGUCUUGCACCAUAUGUACUGAUUUGUUAAUUUCGGGAGACGUGGUAAUAGUCCGG
rnacentral:rRNA from 1 species